rnacentral:rRNA from 1 species
AAUAUUGCACAAUGGGGGAAACCCUGAUGCUGCGGCUCCGCGUGAUCGAAGAAGUCCUUCGGGUCGUAAAGCUCUGUCCUAAGGGAAGAAACGGACGGUACCAUAGGAGGAAGCCCCGGCUAACUACUUGCCAGCUGUCGCGGUAAUACGUAGGGGGCAAGCGUUGUUCGGAAUUAUUGGGCGUAAAGGGUGCGUAGGCGGCUUUUUAAGUCAGAUGUGAAAGACCACGGCUUAACCGUGGGGUUGCAUUUGAAACUGGAAGGCUUGAGUAUCGGAGAGGGUAGUGGAAUUCCCAGUGUAGCGGUGAAAUGCGUAGAUAUUGGGAGGAACACCAGUGGCGAAGGCGACUACCUGGACGAAAACUGACGCUGAUGCACGAAAGCUAGGGGAGCAAACA